rnacentral:rRNA from 1 species
GCAAGUCGAGGGGCAGCGGGGGUAGCAAUACCCGCCGRCGACCGGCGCACGGGUGAGUAACGCGUAUGCAACCUACCCACUACAGGGNGAAUAACCCGGAGAAAUUCGGACUAAUACCCCAUAUACCCACAGGCUGGCAUUGGCCAAUGGGGAAAGGAGCAAUCCGGUGGUGGAUGGGCAUGCGUAUCAUUAGAUAGNNGGCGGGGUAACGGCCCACCAAGUCUACGAUGAUUAGGGGAUCUGAUAUGAUUAACCCCCACACUGGGACUGAGACACGGCCCAGACUCCUACGGGAGGCAGCAGUGAGGAAUAUUGGUCAAUGGCCGAAAGGCUGAACCAGCCAUGCCGCGUGCAGGACUACGGCCCUACGGGUCUUAAACUGCUUUUGGGAGGGAACAAUAAGGGCUACGUGUAGUCCGACGAGCGUACCUUUCGAAUAAGCAUCGGCUAACUCCGUGC